GACUAACGCUGGCGGCGUGCCUAAUACAUGCAAGUCGAACGGGAUUCUUUGAUCAGCUUGCUGAGAGAAGGAUCUAGUGGCGGACGGGUGAGUAACGCGUGGGAAUCUGCCUCUUACUGGGGGAUAACAGUGGGAAACUACUGCUAAUACCGCAUAAGAUCUUCGGAUGAAAGGUGCAAUUGCACCGGUAAGAGAUGAGCCCGCGUCCCAUUAGCUAGUUGGUGAGGUAAAGGCUCACCAAGGCGACGAUGGGUAGCCGGCCUGAGAGGGUGAACGGCCACACUGGGACUGAGACACGGCCCAGACUCCUACGGGAGGCAGCAGUAGGGAAUCUUCCGCAAUGGGCGCGAGCCUGACGGAGCGACGCCGCGUGAGUGAUGAAGGCCUUCGGGUCGUAAAGCUCUGUUCUUGAGGACGAAUAAGCCAGGGAGUGGAAAGCCCUGGUGAUGACUGUACUCAAGGAGAAAGCUCCGGCUAACUACGUGCCAGCAGCCGCGGUAAUACGUANGGAGCUACGNUGCCGGAAUUACUGGGUGUAAAGGGCGCGCAGGCGGUUCAUAAUCANGUGUGAAAGCCCGGGCUCACU
rnacentral:rRNA from 1 species